UACGAAGGGGGCAAGCGUUGUUCGGAAUUACUGGGCGUAAAGGGCGCGUAGGCGGUUCUUUAAGUCAGGCGUGAAAGCCCUGGGCUCAACCUGGGAGUGGCGCUUGAUACUGGAGGACUAGAGAGUGGGAGAGGUUGGUGGAAUUCCCAGUGUAGAGGUGAAAUUCGUAGAUAUUGGGAAGAACACCGGUGGCGAAGGCGGCCAACUGGACCAUUUCUGACGCUGAGGCGCGAAAGCGUGGGGAGCAAACAGG
rnacentral:rRNA from 1 species